rnacentral:rRNA from 1 species
UACGAAGGUGGCAAGCGUUACUCGGAAUUACUAGGCGUAAAGGGCAGGUAGGUGGUUGGUUAGUCUGUUGUGAAAGCUCCUUGCUUAACGGGGAGAGGUCAACAGAUACUGCCAGACUUGAGUAUGGGAGAGGUUACUGGAAUUCCUGGUGUAGCGGUGAAAUGCGCAGAGAUCAGGAGGAACACCGAUGGCGAAAGCAGGUAACUGGACCAUUACUGACACUCAGCUGCGAAAGCUAGGGAGCAAACAGG